rnacentral:rRNA from 1 species
GGGGAAUAUUGCACAAUGGGCGCAAGCCUGAUCCAGCAAUGCCGCGUGUGUGAUGAAGGCCCUAGGGUUGUAAAGCACUUUCGCCGAUGACGAUGAUGACGGUAGUCGGAUAAGAAGCCCCGGCUAACUCCGUGCCAGCAGCCGCGGUAAUACGGAGGGGGCGAGCGUUGUUCGGAAUUACUGGGCGUAAAGGGCGCGUAGGCGGUGACGUUAGUCGGGCGUGAAAGCCCCGGGCUCAACCUGGGAUGUGCGUUCGAUACUGCGUUGCUUGAGAGCGGAAGAGGGUAGUGGAAUUCCCAGUGUAGAGGUGAAAUUCGUAGAUAUUGGGAAGAACACCAGUGGCGAAGGCGGCUACCUGGUCCGUUUCUGACGCUGAGGCGCGAAAGCGUGGGGAGCAAA